rnacentral:rRNA from 1 species
AUUGAACGCUGGCGGCAGGCCUAACACAUGCAAGUCGAGCGGAGCGGCGGACGGGUGAGUAAUGCCUAGGAAUCUGCUUGGUGGUGGGGGAGCACGUCAGGAUACUGGCUCUAAUACCGCAUGCUAUCCGAUGAGCCUAGGUCGUAUUAGCUAGUUGGGGGGGUAAAGGCCUACCAAGGCGACGAUCCGUAACUGGUCUUAGAGGAUGAUCCGUCACACUGGAACUGAGACACGGUCCAGAUUCCUAAGGGAGGAAGCAGUGGGGAAUAUUGGACAAUGGGCGAAAGCCUGAUCCAGCCAUGCCGCGGGUGUGAAGAAGGUCUUCGGAUUGUAAAGCACUGUAAGUUGGGAGGCGUUACCAACAGAAUAAGCACCGGCUAACUUCGUGCCAGCAGCCGCGGUAAUAC